UUUAUUUUGAAAUUACUCUUUCACAUUAAAAAAAGAAUGAAAUGACAUUUCAAUUUUGUAGCAUUUCGACAAAAGAUCUGGAUAUAGCCACGUUAAAUGAUUUUAAAUUGUGAGAGCUAAAAGGGUUGAGAUGUAACUAUAAAAAUCAAAAUGAGUUGUUUAAAUUAUAAAUACCUAAAACAAAAGUUAUAAAACUAAAAGGUAAUUAACCAAAAGAAAAAAUCGAAGGUAAGGGUGCUGUGAUUAAAGCUUGGCUAAGGCAAUAUACAUAUAUAUAUAUAUGAGUAUGUGACGUGCCGUAUCUGAGGGACAGACAGAGCAGAGAGGCAUUAUGGAUACUAAGAAAAUGUAUAUGAAUGAAUGAAUAUGACAACUAAAAACGAACAAGUGCAAAAUGAAUUCCCAUUAGUCUCCAAUUCAUCGCCCCCUGAUUUGUCAGAUACAACAAGACACACAUGUAUGCACUUGCAUAAACUAUUUCCAAGUGGUUUUAACGUGUCUAGAAGGUCACUGGGUCAUCCAUUUUUACACAAUUAAGUAAUGCCUGAUGAUAGCAGGAAAAAAUAAAAAGGCAAGUUACAACUUACAAAUAAACAAAUAUUGCAAAGCUAGCUAGGUAGAAUAACCUUCAAAACUGAGAAAGUGAGGGUU
rnacentral:lncRNA from 1 species